rnacentral:misc_RNA from 1 species
GAUGAAGAACGCAGCGAAGUGCGAUAAGUAAUGUGAAUUGCAGAAUUCCGUGAAUCAUCGAAUCUUUGAACGCAAAUUGCACUUUCUGGUAUUCCGGAGAGUAUGCCUGUUUGAGGGUCAGUGUAAUAAAUAAAUCGUGGUUGUUACCACUUUUCGUGGUGACGCUUCGGAAUUGAGUCGUCUUACCCUUCGGGUUAAGUGAUUUAAAAUUUUUUCAUACGAUUUCGAAACGUAUUUAAUGUAUUAUGUACGUUCACGAAUAUCGAAUGUUUAUUAGGUGCGGUCAUUUUCAUGAAUUCGCGUCUAUAAUUUUUUUUUUUUGACCUCAAAUCAGGUAAGAAUACCCGCUGAACUUAAGCAUAUCAAUAAGCGGAGGA